rnacentral:lncRNA from 1 species
UUACAUCAUAAAAGUGAAGAUGAAGAGUAAUAAACUUAAAUGCUUUUGAACCUGGUGUUGAUUUGUGAUGAAGAGUAAACUACUGGACAUGGGGGAAGCAGUUGGAACUCAAAGCCGAAGACUUCCUCAAGAACUUAUUGAUACGCUUCCAACCUCGAAGUACAAAUUUGGCAGCUUAUUCAAAAGAAAUUUUUUGCCAUGCAGUUAUGUUUAUCAUGGUGAAUGCAUUACAAAUGGCUUAGCAUUAACAAGGUAAUUGAACGCGUUAUUUCCAAAAUAAAAUCCACAUUGAAUCCCGUUUCUAUACAAUUUGCACCUUCUCAGCCCUCUUUUCGUCAUCACAUUUACGAUUUGCCUCAUUCUUUUCAGAAAUGUCUUGUUUGCAAGACUGAUGUUUUCGGUGAGGAAUCUUCUCACAUGAUACAUGUUUUGUCUGAUAGAAACAAGUUAACAACCUAACAGUGGUUAAUGUGUGAUAUUCUCUUAGUUUUGUGUCUCUACUCCC